UGAUUUGAGAACAUCUAAAACCAUAUAGCCACAUAACUGGAGAUGUACAUUCAAAAGAAGUUUUUGUUAUUCAUAAAUCUUCCUGGUGAUUUCAAAAUGGCCGCUUGGUCAGGCUGAGGGAGCGGGACAGGAAUUCAUGAGGCAGCACCCCAUGCUGCAUGAAGAAAGCGGAGCCAAGGUUGUAAGACAAACAGCAAAGCCAGUAAGAAGGUGUCGAAGGCAGGUGAUCGCCUCAGCCCAGAGUUUAGAGAAGAAUGAUGUGCCCGUGUUCCAACCUGACCUUGUCGGUGCAGCUCGCUAUUCGGACCUUCAGGACAACGAGGGACCCUGAGCCGGGGUGGUUCUGAAUCGGUACGAGACGGGCUACAUUCACUGCUCCCCAGAAACUGCAGAGUAAGCCCCGCUCACCAGACUGGAAUCCAGUAACAGAUGCAGAAAAUAAUGACCUGGCGUAUCCUGCCAUUUGACCUGAGACAAGGAAGCAUGUGACUUCACUCUGAUCAAGCAAUAGAUGUGGA
rnacentral:lncRNA from 1 species